UGUCGCUGUUACUUGUGAUAGAGGUGU
rnacentral:piRNA from 1 species